rnacentral:rRNA from 1 species
UACGUAGGGGGCAAGCGUUGUCCGGAUUUAUUGGGCGUAAAGAGCGUGUAGGCGGCCAGACAGGUCCGUUGUGAAAACUCGAGGCUCAACCUCGAGACGCCGAUGGAAACCGUCUGGCUAGAGUCCGGAAGAGGAGAGUGGAAUUCCUGGUGCAGCGGUGAAAUGCGCAGAUAUCAGGAAGAACACCCGUGGCUAAGGCGGCUCUCUAGUACGGUACUGACGCUGAGACGCGAAAGCGUGGGGAGCGAACAGG